AUAAUUUCACAUGUAUUCAGCCAAACGUUUCUUAGUAAGACUCUAGCUUAUUAUGAUCUUACAUCAAAAAUAUAAUAAUAAACAAAAAUUUAUAUUAUCAAAAUUUCAAUAUAGAAUAUUCGAAUAUGAUAAAAUAAGCUUAAAAUACCAAUAAUAUUCUGUAUCAUAACAAAAUUACACUAAAAAUAAUAGAAUUUAAUUGAU
rnacentral:lncRNA from 1 species